GGGAUUGUGGCUCAGUGGCAGAGCACUCACCUUAUACGUAAGAGGCACUGAGUUCAUUCCUG
rnacentral:tRNA from 1 species